rnacentral:lncRNA from 1 species
GCCAGGGCCACAGCUCAUCGCAGGCGGGGCAGGUGAGCGCAGCCGGACGGAGCUCCUCCCUGCAGCCCUUCCACCGCGAGCCGGAAUUCGGGCUCCGCGUUCCUGUCCAGGAGAGGAAGGCUGGUGAGGGGAUAGAGAACAGAGGCCUGGGAGAGCGUGGGAAGGUCACUUUCCUCCAGAAGUUUUCCCUGACCGUCCAUCUCGGUGGAUGUCCUUCCCCCAGCCCAGCGCACACCACAGCGCUUUCUCGUUGCCUGCCGGUGGGAACAACAAGGUAAGCCCUGAAGGCAGGGUCCAGUGAUAUCUUUGGGUCCAUGAUAUCUUUGUAUCAUCACUGUCUCACACAACU